GACGUAGGGCGCGAGCGUUGUCCGGAUUUAUUGGGCGUAAAGAGCUCGUAGGCGGCUUGUUGCGUCAGCUGUGAAAACCCGCAGCUCAACUGUGGGCUUGCAGCUGAUACGGGCAGGCUUGAGUUCGGUAGGGGAGACUGGAAUUCCUGGUGUAGCGGUGAAAUGCGUAGAUAUCGGGAGGAACACCAGUGGCGAAGGCGGGUCUCUGGACAGUUCCUGACGCUGAGGCACGAAGGUCAGGGGAGCAAACGGG
rnacentral:rRNA from 1 species